rnacentral:misc_RNA from 1 species
CAACCCUCAAGCCCGGCUUGGUGUUGGGGCCCUACGGUCGACGUAGGCCCUUAAAGGUAGUGGCGGACCCUCCCGGAGCCUCCUUUGCGUAGUAACUUAACGUCUCGCACUGGGAUCCGGAGGGACUCUUGCCGUAAAACCCCCAAAACUUUUACA